GAUGAAUGCUGGCGGCGUGCUUAACACAUGCAAGUCGAGCGGAAAGGCCCUUCGGGGUACUCGAGCGGCGGACGGCUGAGUAACGCGUGGGAACAUGCCCCAAAGUGAGGAAUAACUACCCGAAAGGGUGGCUAAUGCCGCAUAUGAUCUUCGGAUUAAAGGAUUUAUCCGCUUUGGGAGUGGCCUGCGUAUGAUUAGGUAGUUGGUGAGGUAAUGGCUCACCAAGCCGACGAUCAUUAGCUGGUCUGAGAGGAUGACCAGCCAGACUGGAACUGAGACACGGUCCAGACUCCUACGGGAGGCAGCAGUGAGGAAUAUUCCACAAUGGGCGAAAGCCUGAUGGAGCAACGCCGCGUGAAGGAUGAAGGCCCUCGGGUUGUAAACUUCUUUUAUAAGUGAAGAAUAUGACGGUAACUUAUGAAUAAGCACCGGCUAACUACGUGCCAGCCGCCGCCGUA
rnacentral:rRNA from 1 species